rnacentral:miRNA from 1 species
UCCUGCGCGUCCCAGAUGCCC